GUAGUACAAAGCCUGGAAGGAGGGCUUGGGAGACCAGUAGAGCCAUACUUGAUUAUUCCAGGUGCAACUUGCUUUAAUUUUGCUGCUUUGCAAAAGUAUGAAAUUUCAACAUGCCAUCAUAUUUUGGGUCAAUAUUUAAAAUUAUUGAAAGAAAAGAGUAAGAUGUAGUAGAGGUAGAUGAGUGUUGAUUUUCAUUUUAAUAUAUGGGAUAUUUCUGACUGAAUGACAAAGGUCCACAAUGCCAAUAGACCAAAAUGAAGUUUUGGGCCAAAAGGCACAUCUUGCAGCAUUUCAUCAAGCAAAUACCCAAAAAUUCAGAUGGAAAUCUUGCUGCAGGAUCAUUUUUUGGCUAUGAAAUACAAGAACAGCAACUACAUUAAUAAUUUUUGACUUGAUAUAUUUACUCUCUUCUUUGUAAAUUACUUGUUUCUUAUUUGUGCUUAUAAUGCUAAAUCUCCUUCUUCCUGCACAGCCACAGAGCUUGCCUUGGAGUCCAAAAAUUGUUAUUGGCCUGUUUUCAGCUGAUUCUCUUGACAUCAGUAGGGAGAUCUGCCUCUCCCUGGAAUGCAUUAAUGGAUAAAAAUAUUAUAAAUACAUCAAGAAAUAAAGACAUUUCUUCAAAAUAAGGGAACAGCAGUUCCUACCUCAGCAGACACCUUGCCCCCUCCAUUCAGCAGUAGACAAAAACAUGGCUGUUUGCAUAGAUGCCCUUCUUCUGAGCUGUUGCCUUCCAUUUUAAAUCUGUUAUUUCUAAAGGAUUCGGUCAUAUCAAGUUAAAUUUAAACAAAGGAAGGUCUUGACAAGUCAAGCAAAGAAGCAGUAUCAUUUUACUACAUAGUAAAAAAAAAUAAAUAAAAUACUUGCUAUAAUUUCAUAUCCCCUGUGCAGGAAAAAAUGCCAGCUAGUCAGUCAUGACUGUUUUCUUUUCCCUGGGCUUUCAUGUUGGAAGAGAUGCAGAGGGUAACCUGGGACAUUGGGCAGCUGGGCACUUCUGCAGGUCUGUGGGCGAAAGUGCUGGAGUCUGGCAAUGGGACAGCUCAGCAAGGAGUCAGUUUGUUACUGGAAUGAGCAAGAUAGCAUUGUUGAACUUGACUGUGAUUUCACCAUUUGAGGUAGUCUGGACCAAAAUGUUCAGGCAACAAGGUAUCCUGAUGUUUGCCUCCAGCUUCAAAUAGAUGGUUUUGCUGAAGCUGACAAUUUACUCUUGUUUAUUCUCUGCUCUAAUUUUGCAAACAAAACAGGACUUUCUGAAUACUCAGAAAAUAACUGAUAGUAUUGUUCCAGAAUAGGCUUAAUGAGGGUAACUUCUGCUUUUAGGAAAGAAGUCGGUCACAUGACACCUUUGAACAUUUUCUGAGACCACAUUUGUCAGUAAUGGCUUUUUCCAGUAGUAAGUGUAGGCUUUUACAAAACCACCUUAUGAGCAGCUCUGAGGUCAGUGGUGAAGAGGACAAGAUGUGGAGUCCCACUGAUUUUGUAUAAAUCACAAAAUGUUGGCAUAGUUCACCAAGUGGUUUGGAAUCCUUUUUCUGUUGUCUAAAUUCCUGUUACAGCCAUAACUAACAAAAUAGGAGAGUAAAAAAAGAAAAUUCUUCUCAUUUCUUCUCCAAGUGAGAAGUCCUGGUGACCACUCUGGAGGAAUGUCUUACUGCUAUAGCAUUUCAUUUAUUUUUCUGCAAUAAACUGUCAAUUCCAGGAGGAAGAUACUAUUCU
rnacentral:lncRNA from 1 species